GGUUGUUACUGAAGUGAGGGUUGAGCUUAAAGCUCUUAAUGAAGUUCAGUGCUAAAACACAAGUACCUCUAAAAGUAACAAAGGUACCGGAAGAACUUCACCUAGACUAACUUCGAGGUGGUGCCGCCUCAAUAGAGAGUUGGAGUUUCUCUCUUAAAAGUUUGUCGAAUAGGAUGAGCGCAUGGCCAUAAAAGCGCUAAG
rnacentral:lncRNA from 1 species